AAUAGAUACCCGGGUAGUCCACGCCGUAAACGAUGAGUGCUAAGUGUUAGAGGGUUUCCGCCCUUUAGUGCUGCAGCUAACGCAUUAAGCACUCCGCCUGGGGAGUACGGCCGCAAGGCUGAAACUCAAAGGAAUUGACGGGGGCCCGCACAAGCGGUGGAGCAUGUGGUUUAAUUCGAAGCAACGCGAAGAACCUUACCAGGUCUUGACAUCCUCUGACACUCCUAGAGAUAGGAUUUUCCCUUUCGGGGGACAGAGUGACAGGUGGUGCAUGGUUGUCGUCAGCUCGUGUCGUGAGAUGUUGGGUUAAGUCCCGCAACGAGCGCAACCCUUGAUCUUAGUUGCCAGCAUUCAGUUGGGCACUCUAAGGUGACUGCCGGUGACAAACCGGAGGAAGGUGGGGAUGACGUCAAAUCAUCAUGCCCCUUAUGACCUGGGCUACACACGUGCUACAAUGGAUGGUACAAAGGGCUGCAAGACCGCGAGGUUUAGCCAAUCCCAUAAAACCCAUUCUCAGUUCGGA
rnacentral:rRNA from 1 species